AGAAGAAUCACAGGGCAAUUUCUUCUUUGGCAGAGACAUGUGAUAAAUGUUUCUGCCAAGGAAGAGUUGCCCUGUCAUUCAACU
rfam:Spinacia oleracea cultivar SynViroflay scaffold12125.con0005.1, whole genome shotgun sequence.